GGAACGAAUCUGGAGGUUCUUGCCCAUCAGUCUACACUGGACUUUAUUCCACAGAUAACAGAGCGCAAGAUAGACUUUCACAGGCCUCCUCCUAUGCCACGUUCCUUCCUUGGGGAUUCAAUUGGUGGUGACAGGAAGCAUGGAUGGGACAACAUUUGAAUCAUUACAGCUCUUAUGCUUGAAUAUGAAAAUGCGGAUUUGUCGUUGUGUGACUCAAGCAGAGAUUCAGUGAUAAACAGAGAUACAUUCCCCUUUCACCAUGUGCUUCAAACAGUGUUUCUCCCAAGUCUGCAACCUCUUUAGGAUGAAUUGCUCGGAAUAUUGAGACAAAGAAAGUGUUCCAUUUUUACUGUACGAUCAAGUCUGACUUCAUCUCUGUCCUCAUUUAAUUAUUCCCCAUUAGAUAACUCAAAGAGGUGUGAGGUGUUCCUCAAUGAACUCUAAAGGAAAAUUUCUUUUUCCUAUCCUCUUCUUACCUUAUUUAAUUAUUUGAAGAUUCGCAUUUAGUAUUUGACAAAUGCUAACUUCUAUUGUUGGCUGUUCAUGAUAGUAAACCCACAAAUUCUUUCCAUCUUUGGGAAAAUGGUUCACUGUGAAUUAAUUUUUAUUCACUUUAGUAGCAGUGAUAAUACAGCAUUCAUUUGCUAUUCCAGUAGCUAUUACUUGCAUCUUGACACAAAUUGCUUUAUAAUUCAGUCUUUAUUUUCUGGUUGCCUGAAAUAAUAUCCUCAAUAGGCAAAGCCUUUUAUCAAGAAAUUGCUCCCAAAUAUUCUGUGUUCUAAUGCCACUUGAUAUUCACUGGAGCAAGAUUUUAGUGGACUUGAAACCUGGUGUACUUUAUUUCACUUCCCAAGCCUCCUCCUAUGCCACGUUCCCUCCUUGGGGAUUCAAUUGGUGGUGACAGGAAGCAUGGACGGGACAACACUUGAAUCAUUACAGCUCUUAUGCUUGAAUAUGGAAGAUUUGAAAUUCAGUGUCCGUGUAUUGCUGAAGUACCAAACACAACAUCUGGAAGGAGGCAGUUGUUGGCUUUGUUACAGUGGUUCAAGAAUGUCAGAAUUGCAGUCACUACAAUUCUCCUGGCUUUUCUCUCAUGGUCCCCAAAUGACUGCUGGAGUUUCAGCCAUCAUAUCAGUGAUCAAGGCAGCUGAAUCCAGGCAGUAAUCCAGGCACUUGGAAGUCCCACCCAAGGACUUCUGCUCUUAUCUCAUUGGUCAUCUUUGUCUGAAAGGAAAGCUGUGAAACACAGUAUUAUUAAUAAGCACGUUGCUGGCUCCAAUAAUAUAGAGUCUUGUUAACAACAAAGAAGAGGAGAAUGGAGAUUGAGCAACCAGGAAGCAGUCUCAGCCACACCAUCAUAUGGAGAAGUGCCUGUUUCCCAUUCUGCCCGACUUUAAGUUUCCUGAGGCACCCCCAGCCAUGCAGAACUCUCUGGUGCCUGGCCCACAGGAAGUUUUCACUAAAUAUUGAAAUAAACUGAACUUAGAUUAAACUUUGGUGUCUAACUUAGGAAAAACAACAAGAGUUCUACAAAACUAUUUCUUCACAGUCAAGGCUGGCACUGGUGUCCAUGGGCCCACCCAGGUGGAUAAUGAGGAAUCUCUGGUCAUAGACGCUUUCAGUGACAAGUGGGUAGAAGGUCUUGGAUCUAAGAGGGUCCAUCCUGGAAGAAGCAGGACUAUGACUAUGGAAAGUCUGAAGCCAGGCCUGCUUAGCAGAGGUCUCCGUAUAGUAGGGAUCUCACUCUUUCAAGAUGUAGGAUCUCAACUGGUUAGCCAGCCCUCUGAGUGAAGCUGGUCAGUUGGGGCUGUGACAACACAGCACACUCAAAGGGGCAGACCCUUCUCAGCUCCAACAGAUUGGUGUCAUUGGAAAAGGUGGACCCAGUGUAGGCAGACUUUCCUAGAGAGUCCAGAAGUGACUGUGCAAGCCCAAAGCAAUCCACACAAAUAUUUGUGGACCACCAAGAACCUCUGGUAUGAAGUAAAUAAUAAAGGCAUUGAACAAUAAUAACCUGUCUAUAAAUCCACCAAUGGGACCGAUGGGCCACAGUGUGACAUCUAUCCUAUUCAUGUCAUAAGGGAGAUGAAUUCUACUGUAGGACAGUCUGUGUGACUGCUCGUAGGAGAUUAUCCAAUUCCCUUUGCUCUAAUUUCAUGGUCACCAAAUUUCUGCUUGCUAACUUUGUUUUACAACAAACUGUAGAAAGGAGAUGAUCUGAAUAAGAGGAUAUAUGUUUUUCAGUCUCUGGAAAGGGGUAUUUCUUUGUAUUGAGAAGCCAGAACUCUUGAGUGUGUUGAGCCUUGUAGAGAUUGAACCACUCUGGGUCAGCUGACAAAAUAAGAUUCUGGUGCUGAAAAGCUGAGUAUGUGACCAUGAUAUUAACAGUGACCUAAGUUUGUGUGGCCCCCUUCGUUCUCCAGAAACCAACCAGUCAGCCUUCAUUUUGUAAAUGUAGCAGACACCAUUUUGCUAGUGAAUGAGGUUAAAUCUUUAGCCUUGUCAUUGGUUCAGCUUUGUAAUUUAAAACUCUCUUAUUUUACCCUCUGAUUUUAAAUCCCCAGAUUUUCCUUUCUGUGUCCUUUGCCUCCUGAAGUUUCCAUCUGUCUAGCAACUAAGCACUGUUUGGGUAUCUACUGUCUUCCCCAAGUUGCCUUUACUUUUCUUCUUUACCUUUCUCUUGUUUUAUUUAUUUCUUUCUUUUUUUGAAAUGGAGUCUUGCUCUGUCACCCAGGCGGGAAUGCAGUGGCGCAAUCUCGGCUCAUUGCAACCUCCACCUCCCGGGUUCAAGCAGUUCUCCUGCCUCAGCCUAAUGAGUAGCUGGAAUUACAGGUGUGCACCACCAUACCUGACUAAGUUUUGUAUUUUUAGUAGAGACGGGGUUUCACCAUGUUGGCCAAGCUGGACUUGAACUCCUAACCUCAGGUGAUCCGCCCUCCUUGGCCUCCCAAAGUGCUGGGAUUACAGGCAUGAGCCGCCACACACAGCCUCUCUUGUUUUACUUCUGUCAUUACUUUUUGUUCUUUUAAUUUGGAAACCCACCUGCUUCCUCAGUGUCAUUAUUAAAAACCCACAUGUUACAGGUUCAUUAGGACUGAAACAUUCCUUCAGAGCUGAGCUGACCAACAUGUUAGCCACUAGCCACAUGUGACUAUUGCAUACAUGAAAUGUAAAAUAUGGCUGGUCUGAAAUGAUGGUAUAGGUAUGAAAUUCACACAAGAUUUAGAAUACUGAAGAUAAAAAAGAAUGUAAAGUAUCUCAUUAAUACUUUUUUUGGUAUUGAUCACCUAUUGAAAUGGUAAUAUUUGGUUAUACUGGCUUAAGCAAAUGUACAUUAAAAUUAAUUUCAUCUAUUUCUUUUUACUUCUUUAAUACCAGAAAAUGUAAAAGUACCUAUCUGGCAAGCAAUAUAAAACUAUUGGUCAGUGCUGCUUGAGAGUCUUAAUGUCUGUAUUUUUUAUAUCUCUGUAAGCAUAAAUGCUGUAUUAAAAACCCCAUUUGAAUAAACACCCCCAAAUUACUCUU